AUGCCUGGCUUUCACAAGCUUGACUUCCCGACGCAUGAUGGUUCGGUCGAUCUUCUUGGUUGGCUCAAUAGGUACCAGCAAUUGUUUUGUGGACAACGCAUGAACGAGGCUGACAAAGUCUAGCCUGCAGCCUACCACCUCAUCAAUGACACUCAGUUCUGGUACUUACAGCCCGAGAGAGAUUUUGGCAUGCCGACACGGGAGUAGUUCAAGGAAGAUUGACACAUUCAGUUUGGGCCGUCACUCCACAGCAAUCCCGUGGGCGAGUUGGCAUAGGUGCCAUACACUUCCUCGACUAAUGCUCAUGUGUCGCAACAAUGA
rnacentral:rRNA from 1 species